rnacentral:rRNA from 1 species
CCACUGAGAAGAUAGUGGCGAACGGGUGAGUAACACGUGGGGUAACCUGCCCCAUAAGAGGGGGGAUAACAUCCGGAAACGGGUGCUAAUACCGCAUAGUUUUCUUGAUCGCAUGAUUGAGAAAGGAAGAUGGCCUUUGUGCUGUCGCUUAUGGAUGGACCCGCGGCGUAUUAGUUAGUUGGUGAGGUAACGGCUCACCAAGACGAUGAUACGUAGCCGACCUGAGAGGGUGAUCGGCCACAUUGGGACUGAGACACGGCCCAAACUCCUACGGGAGGCAGCAGUAGGGAAUCUUCCGCAAUGGACGAAAGUCUGACGGAGCAACGCCGCGUGAGUGAAGAAAAGGGUUUUCGGAUCGUAAAACUCUGUUGUCAGAGAAGAACAAGUUGGAGAGUAACUGCUCCAGCCUUGACGGUAUCUGACCAGAAAGCCACGGCUAACUACGUGCCAGCCGCCGC